rnacentral:rRNA from 1 species
UAAGGAAUAUUGGUCAAUGGACGAAAGUCUGAACCAGCCAUGCCGCGUGAAGGAUGACUGCCCUCUGGGUUGUAAACUUCUUUUAUAGGGGGCGAAAAAAGAUCAUUCUUGGUCGUCUGACGGUACCCUAUGAAUAAGCACCGGCUAACUCCGUGCCAGCAGCCGCGGUAAUACGGAGGGUGCAAGCGUUAUCCGGAUUCACUGGGUUUAAAGGGAGCGCAGGCGGACUGGUAAGUCAGUGGUGAAAUACCUGAGCUUAACUCGGGAACUGCCAUUGAUACUAUCAGUCUUGAAUGUUGUUGAGGUUUGCGGAAUGGGUCAUGUAGCGGUGAAAUGCAUAGAUAUGACCCGGAACACCUAUUGCGAAGGCAGCAGGCUAAACAAAUAUUGACGCUGAGGCUCGAAAGCGUGGGGAUCAAACA